rnacentral:lncRNA from 1 species
GAAACCUACAGAGGGGCCAGAGAAGAGAGGAUUGAAACCUAUAAGCUCAAAGGAAAGAGCUAAGGGAGCUGAGGUAUGACAUAACUACGUGCCUCUUACGGCUUGUUUGGAUCUGCAGUCUGCCUAACAGUGACACCUACGUCCACACUAACGGAAGAGAAAGUGUCUCAAUGAAUAGCAUUUCAAUGGUGCAUACAACACAAGUGGAAUGGCCUUUUAGUUAGGAGUUGGAGGAGACCACGCAAAGCAGUUUCAUUUUCUGGUAAGGAGUCGGAGGAGACCAUGCAAAGCAGUUUGCUUUGUGGCAGCUUUCCCAUCAUCCCUGAAGAGUUCCUGGGAGGACUCAGCUCUCCACCAAACUUCCCCAGAACCAUCACUCCUCUCUGUGGAUGGCAGCAGAUUUAGGACAUUUGACAGAGUUAAACCAGUUGAGGAUACAUGGAUCCAACAAGGUGUCUGCAGCUUUUCUGUAUUUGAUCUACAUGCAGACAGAUACUAGCGAAUGGAAACAAAUUCUUCAUUUAAAAGAGUCCUUGGCGUUCCUGAGAAGCAUAAAGAGGAACACGAUGCAAUCUAAGUCUCAGAUUAUCAAAAUGUACAAAGAAUUGGGCUCAUGAAAUAUUCAAAGAAAAAAUCAACAAAGAGGCAAGCUUCUUCUCUGAGGGUAUCUCCAGGAAGGACUGAUCAAGGGGAGAAGACCCUCUCUCAGAAGCAGGGUUACCUGUUGCCUUCACUUCCUGCUGCUGGGUGUGUGUCUAUCCCAGCGCCAUUUUGCACAGCCAUCAGAAUCCAGUUCCCUCGGGCUUCCUGUGUGGACUGAAGACCAGCAGCUCUCCACCAAUCCUUCAAGCCUUCGGCAUCUGACUGAAAUGCUGAGGCAUCCAGUCACACGGAUAUCUGAGUAGCUAUUGGGCUCCUGGCUUCUCUGUGUGCAAACGGUCAUCGCUGGACUUCUCGGCCCCAUUGUGUCCCAGAGAUGAAGCCAUGGCCACUGUGCCACAGGGAAGGACUUCUCUGCCUACCAUCCUCCUAGAGAAAGAAGAACGUGGGGAACAAAUGAGCAAGGCCAGGUCCAGUCACAUGAAAGAUGUUGAGGGGACUUAGUGAGACUGGAUAUGCUCUGAGCAGCAUGAGAGGCCUGCCUGGGCUUGCCAUCAGCCUGCAAAACGUCAUAGCCACAUGUCACUCAGCUUUCCAGGACUUGCACCUUCCUCAUAAAGUGAGAAGGAAAUCUGUUGUUCCUCUUAUAUACCCAUGACAGUUAUGAGAAUCCAAGAUAAUUGAUGUGUUAAGCAUUUUGGAAAGUAUAGGGAUUCAUG